AGUGAACGCUGGCGGUAGGCCUAACACAUGCAAGUCGAACGGCAGCACAGUAAGAGCUUGCUCUUACGGGUGGCGAGUGGCGGACGGGUGAGGAAUACAUCGGAAUCUACUUUUUCGUGGGGGAUAACGUAGGGAAACUUACGCUAAUACCGCAUGCGACCUACGGGUGAAAGCAGGGGAUCUUCGGACCUUGCGCGAUUGAAUGAGCCGAUGUCGGAUUAGCUAGUUGGCGGGGUAAAGGCCCACCAAGGCGACGAUCCGUAGCUGGUCUGAGAGGAUGAUCAGCCACACUGGAACUGAGACACGGUCCAGACUCCUACGGGAGGCAGCAGUGGGGAAUAUUGGACAAUGGGCGCAAGCCUGAUCCAGCAUACCGCGUGGGUGAAGAAGGCCUUCGGGUUGUAAAGCCCUUUUGUUGGGAAAGAAAAGCAGCAGGUUAAUACCCCGCUGUUCUGACGGUACCCAAAGAAUAAGCACCGGCUAACUUCGUG
rnacentral:rRNA from 1 species